UUGCUGGGUAAAAGUUAAGCCUUGUAUAGAAAGACAUGGUGUGUGCUUGAUCAGACAAUACACAGCCUGCAUUUACAGAAGAGUUCCACAGUCUCUCUUUAUAAAAGACAGGCAAAGCCCCAAACCAGUUAACCUAACAGGCUAAGUUUUUAAAUAUUAGUAACUAUAAUGAGAGAGAGAGACUUGGAGAUGUAUAGGGACUUCUAUUUUAGCUUCUAAAAUAUUUGAAACUAAAAUCAACUUUAUACAGGAUGGCUUAAAAACUAUGGUAACUUGGAAAUGCAUUUGAAAGCUAUUAUUUUGGUAUACUCUCCCUAUAUAUAACAAAAUUAUGCUAACUGUGAUUGAUUUAAAAACUCUUUUAAAAUAUUUAUUUUUCUUUUAUGUAUAUGUGUAUGCAUCAUGUGUGCCUGGUGCUUGUAGAAGACAGAAGUUGUUGGAUCUUCUGGAAGUAGAAUUAUGGAAGUUGUGAACUGCCUUGUGUGUGCUGGGAACCAAACACAGGUCUUCUGCAAGAGUAGUCAGUGUUCUUAACCAUGGAGCAAUCACUUCAGCCCCUUAUAAAAACAUUUAACUUCUCUGUUCAAAUAAGAAGUUAAGCUGUCUUUUUUUUUUUUUUUUUUUUUUUUGCAUAUGGCACAAAACAUUGACAGCAAGGACAAUGGAGUAGCCUGUGACUUACAGGUAGAGAGCUACCAAUACUGAGAAAGCACUAGACAACUAUAUCAGGAGCUUCAAAUGUUUGACAUUUAAAACACUUGAUGUGACAGACAGGUUGAGAUAUUCUUACACUCAGCCGGACUGAAUGAGGCAGAAAUUAUUCUCUGAUCAAGAUUUAUUCCAUUAGUAGCUGAGAUUAAAAAGAACACCAUUAACUUUGACAUAAGCAGCCAUUCCAUGCCAAACAGCCUAUGAUAACGAACUGAGUCACUAUGAGGGUCUGGUUGGAUGGGGGUAACCCACUUGGCAUUCAGUUCAAUUAAUCAGCUCACAUAUCACAAUAUUUUGUGAAAAGCUUUGACCCAGAAAUGCUUAUUUCCCCCUAAGCUACAACAAACCAUAUUUAAUAUUCAACAGCUUUUACCUAAUUAUCUGUCAUUGAAAUAUUAAUUAAAAUAAAAACAACAAGGCCAUAUAAAAACAUCCCCAGUUAAAACUCUGAUGAACAGAAUAGUUAAAAUUCCCCCAAAUAGAUCAGAUUCCCAUAUGCCUGACUCUAAUUUUUUUUUUUAAGCUACUGGAUUGCUCUGAAAAAUUUCCCUCCAUAUAACAAGCUUUUUUUUUAAUUCUGCUGCAAAGAUUCUGAAUGUUAUUGUGAUAUGAAUAAAAACUAUAAUCAAAAUGAUACACUUCAAAUAAAAGUGCAUUUUAUUUUAUAUCAGCCAUGCUUCAGAAAUGUCUGUCCCACUGGUAUUUAGAGCCAGAAUGGCUGUAUGAAUGAUUCCCCAAAGACUAUUAGCCAACAAUAGCUACUUAGAAAGACUAGCAAAUCCACAAGCAUCCAUAUUAAAGCACAGUAAUUAUCUAUUACAUUACAUAGUGCUUAAUUAAUAGUAAUUUAAGGCUGUAGGCAGAAAAGUACUUUUUAUUCAUAAACACAUCUUUCAUUUAAACAAAUUCACAGUUGCUUUAUACCUUCACACUCUGAUAAAGACAUGCAUUCAUUUUGAUCUCUAGCUCUGUGAAUUCCUAAGUAUUAAUACACAAAGAAACUAAUUCACAGUUGCUUUAUACCUUCACACUCUGAUAAAGACAUGUAUUCAUUUUGAUCUUUAACUCAGGGAAUUCCUAGGUAUUAAUAUACAAAGAAAACGGCUUUUUAGAAUUUGAAUCAUUAAAUCUAAUCCCAAGUUCUUGGCUCAUCAUUAAACUUUUGGGAAGAUCAUUUGCCCUAGACCAGCAUAAAAUGUUUUUAUUAGGGCCUCACACAGACUAAGUAUGUACCUUAUACUCCCAGUUCUCCCAAAAGAAUAUUUUUUAAGGUAUCUCUUGAUCGGACAUGGAUCUAGGUGAAAAACUUCUGCUAUUACUCUGCUAAAGGAACAGAGCAACUAAAUGACUCCUAAUGACAAAAUGCUAACACUAAUGACAUAAUGCUAUACCCAUAGACCAGUGCCUUGUUCAAGCCUCAUCAGAGGUGUUCCUUCCUUCAGUAGGCAGAAAUUAACAUGGAGACUCACAACUGGACAAUAUGCACAGACUGAGAGACUCUGGAACACUCAGUACUAAACGGGAUGUUUUUAUAGAAUCCCUCAGUGCUUAGUGAGCAACAUGGAAGAGGGUGUAGACAGAUUGUAUGAGCCAGGGGUGACAGAUGACUCCAAGGAAACUGUCUUUCAGACACAACAGAACUGAUGCACACACAAAUGCACAGAACACGCACAGGAUCUGCACAGGUUAAAGCCAAAUGGAGUGCCAGCACUGAGAAGGGGAGUGGACCUGGAGCCCCAUCCCUAAACAAGAAGCUAAUUGUAAUCAAUACCCACCAAGUGGCAAAGGGAAAAAUAGUCUCCCCCCCCCCCCCCGCAGUGGAAUCUCACCAAAUAACCAACCAGAGCAGACCCUAUGCCCAAGAGAAGUUGACCAACACAAAACAAACUCAAUACUGUUUUUUAUGGACAUUUUGGCUUCAUUUUUUCUUGGUUUUGGCAAUUUCUGUCUCUUACUGAUGUUUUGCUUGCUUGAUUUACUUUUGUGUGGGUUGUUUUGUUUCCUGGUUUCUUUCUUUUCUUUCUUUCUUUCUUUCUUUCUUUCUUUCUUUCUUUCUUUCUUUCUUUCUUUUUUUUGAGAGAGAAAAAGAACAUGAAGUUAGGGAGGUAGGGAGGAUCUAGGAGGAACUAGGAAAAAUGAUGAACAUACAUUGUAUAAAGAUGUUCAAUUAAAUAAAAAGGCAUAUUAGGUCAAUCAUCUAGUUUGAUUUAAUUUUACACAAAUAUAUUUUGCCUUAGGUGUUAAUGAGAAUAGUUUCUCAUUUUCAUGUUAACUGCAGCCAGCUUACUUCUGCAACAGAAAUAUCUUUUGUGUCUCUCCUCAUUGUAUCAGUUGAACAGUAAGAGGUAUGGUAAGAACCUUUUAAUAGGGUUCUUAUGCAAAUAUAAUUGAAUUAAUGAAGUGGAUCUAAAUAUUACCCAAAGGGGUAAGCUUUCUUUUUGUGUGUAGAAAGAAAGAAAGAAAGAAAGAAAGAAAGAAAGAAAGAAAUCAAAACCCAAGCCACCCAAAAUACUAACAUCCGGAGUAUGGGUUUACUUAGGAACAACUAUAUCCAUCCACCCCAGUGGUUGUCCGUGCUUAGGAAGGCAGAAUGCAAGGAGGUAAUGAAAGUAUUCAUCUGCACAGGGAGACCUCUGACAGCAACCUGCCAACAGCAACGUCCACAGGAGCUUGGUGAUGGGAAUUCCCAGCGUUCUGCACCUACUCACAUUCCCUCAAAUGUGCUUAGCACUUCUGUUUCACCUGCUUUUCUACUUCAGGAACAGUUGAAUUUAAAGCACCAUAAAAUAACCUUACUUUAGCUUUGACUUCCGGAGCCAAGAAAAGCUUUGAAUUUGAAAGACCCUGUUUUGGGCAGGUUACCAUUAAUUUGUUGUUGUUGUUGGCACUGACAAAAUGUAUGUUGUAAUUUGAUUAAAUAUAAGUUUUAAAAAACACACACACAUUCAGAAUUUGAAUCAUAGGUCAAUGCCAUUAUAGCUAGGGCUCUUUUCAAGUGUUUAUUACAUUUCUAAACAGCAUCCUGAUGAUUUUAAAAACAGCUAUUUAAUAGCUUUAAAAUGUAUUCAAUUUCUGCCUACUUUUACAAUUUAACCCAAAUUUUGACUUUAUGUACAUGUCAACACACACACACACAGAGAGAGAGAGAGAGAGAGAGAGAGAGAGAGAGAGAGAGAGAGAGAAAGAGAAAGAGAAAGAGAAAGAGAAAGAGAGAGAGAGAGACUCAUUUAUUUAGUGAUAUUUAUAUAGCAAACCUGAAAAUCCACCCUUUAAAAGACAGAGACUUACUAUAGACAGAGACUUGGGUAUGGUUUUCAAAUUACCAAGUAUAUUUUUAUUUUAAGUUCUAAAACUGUUAAGGAAUCCCACCAUCUUUCUUCCUCGGGGAUGAAUAUAAUUGCUCUUUUGUUCUUAGGUACUGUCAAACUCACACACUGCUUUAGGAGGCUUUCUGGGAGCAUGGAAGAGCAAAGCACACAGAGCCCUCCCCCCAGCUCCCGUCCCUCUGCAGACUGGCACACAGUAGAAGGAUAUACAUGGGGCACCUGGAGAUAGUGGGGUAGGAGUCCUCUGUGUAGCUGCUGUCCCAGCCAAAUUAGUUGUUUCCAAUGUCUGAGCACAACUAGAAUCUGUUUCUUGUGUGUGUGUAUGUGUGCCUUCCAAUCUGUCUGGGAGAAUCAGAACAUGUCAGGAAUUUAUUAUCAGGCCUGUGGUGUUGGUGCAUCCUAUAAUCCCAGGACUUGGAAACAGGAGGAGGGAUGUGAUUUCUGAGGCCAGCCUGGGCUACAUAUCGUACUCUGUAGACUUGUACUUUUGUAAGCCUUCAACUACAACACGGUAGUGAAUAGUAACAGAAAGAUGGUAUAUUCUAAUUGAAAGCAAACCUAGAAAAGUAGGUCGGAGCUGAUUCCCGUUGGGUCUCUAAGAGUUGGCUGAGGGGGCGCACGGCUCCUUUCACAGGCAAAGGGAAAUAAGCAGAGGCUUUCGAGGCAAAGAGUAACAAGGAAGUUUCUGAGCCAGCCACUUCAGGACUGUCAUAGUGGAGAGGACGGAAUAAGGAGAGGGAGCUGGGGUUCCCUCUACAAACUGCAGACUCUGGGUUUCUUACGGUGAUCUAACUAAAAUAACUAGGCAAAAGUAUGAAAGAUCAGAACACGAGUUAUGGGCUGGUGAGAUGGCUCAGUGGGUAAGAGCACCAGAAUGCUCUUCCAAAGGUCUGGAGUUCAAAUCCCAGCAACCACAUGGUGGCUCACAACCAUCCGUAAUGAGAUCUGAUGCCCUCUUCUGGUGUGUCUGAAGACAGCUACAGUGUACUUACAUAUAAUAAAUAAAUAAAUCUUUAAAAAAAAAAAAAAAAGAACACGAGUUAUGCUAACAGGAGCCGUAUGCAGGGAGGAAGCCUGAGGCUAUGAUGAAUUCUCACACAUCUCCUGGAAAAAGACAACUUCCGGUCUAGCGCAGGCUGAGCAGGAUGGGUUUUUCCUGUGUGGACAAUGAUUAAAAAAAAAGAAGAAGAAGAAGAAGCAAGUGGGGAAGAGAGAAACAGGGGUGGGAAGCAGUUGUACAGCUUCUGGGUGUUAAAUACUGGGAAGAGGUAUAACAGCAGAACAGUCAAGGGCCAUUGGACUCCGGGUUGUACGGACGGGGCUGGGCUGCAGUCCUCAGUGGGGCGCUCCUUGUUACGCAGAGGGACGUACAGACUAGAGGGAAGAAAGGCUAUUCUCAUAAUCUGCUGCUGCAGUUUGAACCACUCUGCUUGUCCCCAAAGACUUGUGAUCCAGUUGUAGGUCUCAUUGAUUAGAGACAGCAGUUGCUCUCACAAUUGAGCCAGGAGGGGAAAAAGUAUCUUCAUGAUCAAUGCUACAACAUUUCACUUAACAGCAUAGAUCAGAUUGGAAACCGUCAGGGGUACAAAACGUUUAAUACUAAUUUGUCAGCGGCUACCAAUAAAAAUUAGCAUCCUGGUUCCAAGAGCCACUGGGUUUAAUACUGUGACCUCUCUGAGCUACUGCUGGCUCCCAUGAUUAGCAUCACACAAAGACACAAGCUGUGUUCCUAAGUGCUUGUCAAGUAAACAUGCUACAGCUUCAGGAACCAGAGGAAAAUUUAAUUUAAACAUAAUAUCUUAAAUUAGAAGCCUGACACAUGGCUACUUCAAGCAAUUAAUAAUCAUUCUAACAAUCGAAUCAAUUCAGGUCCUGGUGUAAUAUUUUUAAUUCUAAAGCACCAAGAAUGUCCAGCCUCUGUACACCAACUCCCCACCACUACCACCACUCUGCUGUUAGGCCAAGAAAACCCAAGUUUACUUGGAUCCACACCUGUUCCUGGCUAUGUGACAGAAUUCCAGUCCAUACACAGAAAGACAGAACUAACAAUCUUGUGGAAGGACUGAGGCAAGUUACAAAUUCAUAAAUGUUAUCAAGACAUACAAAUUGACUGACUACACAUUCAAAACUCAAACUAUUAAGCCACAAACGUUUUUUCAAAAGCCAAAUUGUGUGGGUUGAUAUGAUUGUGUCUGUGAUCAGAAGAACCAGGCAGGAGGGUCAAGAGUUCAAAGUUCCCUUGGGCUACCCAAUGAAAACUUGUCUAGGAAGAAACAAAACAAGAUGAUCAAACAAACAAACAAAAACAACCUAAUCAACCAAAAGUCACAAAGCAAAUAUAUAAUCCAUGCAUCCAGCCUUUCCUUCCUUCCAGACAGACAGACCUCUCCUCAAGCUUUACUUGAAACACUGAAAAGCAUGAAUUACAAUUGAGUUUUGCUCACUCUCGCCUAAGUCAAAAGAACUGAACGACCAUGAAAUGAAAGCUCUAUCCAUGUGUACUGGGACAGCCACCUGGAAGAAAUCCUGGCUCUGACGGCAGAGUGGCCCAAGCAGCAGCCAACACAUUUUUCCACGUGUGUUUACAUAAGAAAAAGAAAAAAAAUACACCAUGUUGAAUUUACACCAUUAGAGUUUUGCUACAGUAUGCAGCCAUGUCUAAUUCUCAGAGGCCCAAGGACAUGAUUAUGUGAUCUGGUUCUUAGAUUUCUCAGCGGAGCUGGAAGUGAACACAACCUUCACCAUGAGUUUUCUGAAUCUAUCCAGACUGACCUCGGUGCCACUGAUCUUGAGAAGCCAUUUUAUCCACGUGUUCUCUCGUUUAGUGAGAACAGAGGCUCUCAAACAGCAUGCACACUGUCAGAAGUGUGAGAUGUACAUGCCAGAUCAGGAAUCAUCAGUUUCAUGGAAGCUGGAAAGCAAAGCCCCCAAGUUCAGCUCAAACUCCACCAAAGGCCUGAGCGUUCAUGGUUUAUGUGGCCCACUAUGAGCAGAAGAUCCACAGUUAGGAUGGAAUGACCAUCCGGGUUGGGACUGUUCUCUAUGCUGGAGAUGGGACUUGUACAUUGUACUGCUGAGCCACUUAUCCAUGCUUUAUAUUUUCCCUUAGUAAAAACACAGGAUAAGUCCCUUUAGUAGCUUGCUAUACCACAGCACAGUAUGUGGUAUCAAGAAAGUCCAGAAAAAAAUGCAGAAGGAAAGUACUGUGGCCAAAUGUGCUGUGGGACAGUGGACAGUGCCAGGAAACUUUGAAAAGUUGAGUGGGUUUGGAAGCCCUGGCAGCCCAUACAUACCACAGGACAGUAGGUGCUUCACUAGUUCCUGACCAGGACCCUGUCACAUGAGCACAGUACCCCAUGAAGAGGGCAGCACUUCAAAGCUCCUCCACAUGGAGAUGAGGCAUCCCUAACAUCUCAGACCUAGCCAACUGAACACAUCUGCUGUCAGACUCUACCCACCCCAAAAAAUAUACAGGGCCCUAUAUACCAAAAGAAAUAAAGGUGCGGGAAUUGUUUCACCAAAGAUCGUCUGGGAGCAUCUGUCAUAUGAGAGCUAUAACACAGGUAGGAAGAGAGUGGAAGCUGCCUGGGCCUACCAUGUCACUUCCUGCCACUGGGUGGGGUGGCCCCUGACCUUGCUUCCUUGCCAAGAAGUGCCAACUCCAGGGUAGUGGUGGUGGCUGUGCUUCCCCUCCCUGCUUUCACAGGCCCGCCUUGAUCUGACUCCCCUUUCCCCUUCAGAGAAUGCAACUCCUUGAGCAGAGCCCAGAAGAGCUCUGCAGAUCUCUGAUUGCAUCCUAUAUACAGACCAGUAUUUAGGGAACCAUUCUCCUAAUUACAAAAACCAUGCUGCCAGGGAUAUAGGGUGGAGGAGAGCAGGGGAGGCUCACACAGGGUCACUGCUCUAGGCUAUGUUCCUUUCAUACUGGGUGCUUAGGCACAAAUAUACACCUAGAUACACUACUUUAACUUGUACGUUCAUGUUCACACCGAGUGGUGCUCCUUUAAAAGUCAGGGUUUGCCAAUUGCCCUUACAGGCUGAGUACAGGCAAGAUCAUCAGGCCUGGCAUGAAAAAAGGGAUUCACUGAAAACUGUGUCCUGCCGCUAUUUAGAUGAUGACAAGAUAUUCUAGAGAUGUUUUUGGUUUUGUUUUUCACUCUGUUCAUCCUUGAGAAUCACGACUAAUUUUGUAUUUAUUUCUAAGACUUGGGAGAAUGAUUGCCAGCUCAGCAGGAACCUAAAUGCUGCAAACAGAAUCAAAGCAUGGUUUCAGUUGUCAGGCAAGAAAGCCUGAGGGUAGAAGCAGAGGAUAAUGGGAAGUGGAAGGGAAGGGUAAAGCCAGAAAGAGAAGAAAAAUGAGGAAAAGAUGAAUAAUGGAAGAGAAAGGGCAGAAACUCUCUAUACAAAGACUAUUCCUUUCAGAUAUGUCAGCUACAGCAACUCCCUGACCUUGUGUUCUUUAAAUGAAGCAAUAAUUUGAUUUAAACAUGCAGUGAGAGAUUAACAUGCAGUAAUUAUAAUCAAAGAACUGUCAGCUAAGCUAACAGUCCUUCACACUUCCAAGUCUAAGUCCUCCCCUUCGCCACACACACUGAGAGAGACAGCCAGGAUAGAGAAACAGAGUCAGAUGGACAGACAGAGAGACAGCAGAGAGCAAGAGACAGAGAGAAGAAAGAGAGAGCAAAGAGACAGAAAGAGACAAAGACAAAAAGACUGAGAGACAGUACAGAGAGACAGAGACAGAAAAACAGAGAGAUAGAUACAGAGACAGAGAGACAGCAGAGAGAUAGAGACACACAGAGACACAUAGAGAUUUUUUUUUUGUUUCCAUUUUUCUGGUAAGAUGCCAAAUUUUACUUGAAGAUGUCACAAGCAUUUUGAGAUUCAGACAAGUGUAUCUGAGAAUCUCACUCUAAAUCCAUCACUCUAUGAAAAGAGCACACAUCUCUGGUUCAGGUAGAGACAAAGAAAGAGACCGACAACAGUUUUUGUUUUUCCAACCUUUGACAUUAUCUUGAACAUAUUUUCAGGUAAUUUUUGUUUUUAAGGUACUAGGGCAAACAUGCUACCACUAAACUAUGUCUUAAUGUUUGAGAAACUUCAGUUGCUGCUAUUACAGGGAAUGUAAGAGCAGCACCAAGCUCACUGUGGACAACAUCUAGGUUCCUAAGUUUCAGUAUUUCCACAAAGACCUGACAAAUACCUCACAAAAAGGAAGAAAACAGCCUGACUCAGGAAAAUGCCAUGUGUUUCUAGUAAAAGACAGCAUUAAGCAUGCCAAAAUAAUAUCCAUGACUUACUAGGAAAAUAAAGUUUAAAAACUGUAAGAUGUGAAAACAGAAUUUUUGUUUAGAGCAGUGUUUCUCAACCUCCUUAAUGCUGAAACCCUUUAAUUCAGUUCUUCAUGCUGUGGUGACCCCAAACCAUAAAAUUAUUUUCACUGGCACUUCAUAACUGUAAUUUUGCUACUGUUAUGAAUCAUAUUGUGAAUAUCUGUGUUUUCUUAGGCGACCCCUGUGAAAGGGUCAUUUGACCCCCUCCACAGGUUGAAAAACACAGCUUUAGAAAGAACAAAACUAUAGUUAGCAUAAAACUAAGAAACUGUGGAGAUUAUUUCCCAACAAACAAACAAACAACAAAACAAAACAAAAACGUGGAUAGAAAAGAAAUAAAAGUUGCCUGCAUGGUCAUUUUAGUUUAAAUUAUUAAAUGGUUUAGUUUCUAAUAAGCUUAUAUACACAAUACAAAUAAUAGGCACAGAAGAAACAAGGAUGGAAACAGAAAAUUAUAAAGUUAAAAACUUAAAUGUUCACUGCUAUUAUUGGCUAUUCAUUGCUAUUAUUGUGUAAGUUACCUUUCACUGAAAACUUUGCUGACUGAAAAACUUUAACAGUUUCUUUUAACUUUGAUGAUGCCAUUCAUAUUAUUAAAAUUAUAAUUCAGACAUAAACUAUAGCUCAAUUGUGGACUAAACAUGAGGAGUUUCAGGAAACAAGCAUCUUGUGGCUAGGGAUAUAGCUCAUCUGGUAGAGAGCAAUCCGAGCACACACAAAGAUCUAGAUACAAAAACCCAACGCUGUGGCGUGUGCUUCUUCUCUCAGCACUCAAGGGAUACAGAAAGGAGGAUCAGAAGUUCAAAGUUAUCCUUGGCUAUAUGAGGUCUUGUCUCAAAAACAAGGCAAAACCACCCCAAUGGUCAAGUCCCAUCUAGAGAGGCAUUUAUAUUGGGUGUGCUGUUCACAAUACCCCUGUCCAUUACGCUUCUUUUCAUGUGUUAUUAUGCCAUGAAAUGACCACAUUUCCAUGGCCAGACAACACGUGCUAAGGGUCUUGUGUCCAGCUCAGUCUCACUGUGCUUCAUCUUGCUACAUUAACAACAGGAAAUUAACUAACCCACAAUCUAUGUGCAAUGUAAAGGCCCCAGUUCCCAUGCUAAUAUACAGAACUGCAUGCUCAAAGGUGGUAUGACUCCAUUAAUCCAGAUGGUGAAAGUACCAGAUAAAACCCACAGCCAAAGUCUGGUGUUCCCCACUUUUCAUCUGAGCACCUGAGUUCAGGUCUAAGUCUGUCUGUCUGUCCAUAUCUUCUUCUUUUGCUCCUUUCCCAUCUCCUUCUCUCUUUCUUAAACAUUUUCAAACAGUUAGCUGCCCAGGUGGCCGUCCUCCACACCCAGAAGACAGGAAGCAAG